rnacentral:lncRNA from 1 species
GCCCUGUAAGCAGCCUUCAUCCUUUUCAAAUAUUUAUUGACUGCUUGCUAUGUGUCACAUACUUGGCAAGGUGAUGCACAAAUGCAGGGAUGAAGACAGGCUUAUCGACUUCAAGGAGUUUAGAAUCCAAUGGACAUGCAGCGGGUUUCUGUUUAUAUGAGACCAUUUGGGAAUUAUGUUGUGGUUCCUGGCAUUAUAGGUGUUUAGCAUUCUUCAAAAUGUGGUUCUUCUUUUUCUAGAUCUUGGAUGACAUAACUUCAAGACCAAGGGAGAUGGAGGAGUUUUAGAGGAGUAGAAGGCUGCAAGCAAGAACUGAUGCUUUACAUCUCCAGCCACCUCACUCUAAGAUUGUCCUGUAGCUAAGACUAUUGAAGGAGACUGUUGUUCUUCAGUUUGUAGCCACAAAGCACAGAGGCAUCUCCCCAUGAAUACACUGCAGGAAGGAUGAACAGCCCUUACCUGGAUUUUAGCUUUACCUAAAAACAUAUUUGUAGAAGAAGGAGCAUUCUAGUUUCCAAAUACAAAGGGCAAUCUCCUUCUCUGUGUGUGCAUAGCACACAAACACACUUCUACAAGUAAACAUUCUUCUUUAUUAUCAUAGUCAUCAUCAUCACCGGGUUGGCAACUAAAAACGAAACUACAAAACUCUCAUGUUAGCAAGAGAAAUAAAACCGUGAGACUGUGAAGUGUAUAAAGGAUUCUACCGCUCUCCCGGGGCUCGGAGACCCAGAGAUUGGAGAAACUUGGGAGACUGUGGCUCCUGCAGUCGAACACAAUCAGGGGAGAGGAGUGCUCUGCUCUCCUCAUGCCGCUUGCAGUCUCCUGAAGUUCCUGCCACCGAGGGAGCUUCACUAGCAAUUACACUCCUGACCACCUGAUGCCCCUCUGGCUCCUCUUAGAAGAGGAAAGGAAUGAUUUCAUCACAUGUUCAGAACCAAUUUGCUGUGGUGUCGAGAAUGUUCUGGCUGGCGAUCAGAAGGUACGGGCUCUACACAGGGCUUGGAGCUUUCCAGCUUUGCAACUUUGAAUGAGAACCUGCUCUAGGCCUCGGUUUCCCCAUCACAGCUUCUGCGAUUCCAGGAUCAAGAGAUGGCCAUUUAGAGGUACCAAGAAAGGUGACGCUCACUUUUUAAGUCCUUCAUCCACUUGAAAUGAGCUACUGCUUGUUUAACUUUUCCCUUUUUGGCAAAGUCAAUGCUUUUUCCAGAGACAGCAAAUACAUGGAGCAUUUGUCUAGGACUCCCCGCUACCCUUGCCCUGCCCCCAGCCUCUAUCACAGUUAAGAGCAAG